CCUACGGGGUGCUGCAGUGGGGAAUAUUGGACAAUGGGCGAAAGCCUGAUCCAGCCAUGCCGCGUGUGUGAAGAAGGCCUUCGGGUUGUAAAGCACUUUCAGUGGGGAAGAAAGCCUUGGGGCUAAUACCCUCGAGGAAGGACAUCACCCACAGAAGAAGCACCGGCUAACUCCGUGCCAGCAGCCGCGGUAAUACGGAGGGUGCGAGCGUUAAUCGGAAUUACUGGGCGUAAAGCGCGCGUAGGCGGUCUGAUAAGCCGGUUGUGAAAGCCCCGGGCUCAACCUGGGAACGGCAUCCGGAACUGUCUGGCUAGAGUGCAGGAGAGGAAGGUAGAAUUCCCGGUGUAGCGGUGAAAUGCGUAGAGAUCGGGAGGAAUACCAGUGGCGAAGGCGGCCUUCUGGACUGACACUGACGCUGAGGUGCGAAAGCGUGGGUAGCAAACAGGAUUAGAUACCCGAGUAGUC
rnacentral:rRNA from 1 species